AUAACAUACAUUUGGUGGGAUCCACAAUUUGCCUAAAGUGCGUAAGGGGAGUGGAGGAUUUAAAGCAUGGAUUUGGGGACUAUUCAUUUGUUGUUGUAGUCUGGGAUCUGUUGAACAUUAAAUGGGAUGGUGAUGAAAGUGGAAAAAAUUUUCAAGAUUAGCUACACGAAGUGUUUUAUAAUUCGUCAGAAUAUACCUGCAGGCAUAUUGCAUAUAUGAUUUGGUUCCUUUGGUCCGAGAGGAAUAAAUGGGUGCAUGAUAGAUCAUUUGCCUCACUACAACAUAUUGCAAAUAAGAUUUGAUGGUGGGUUUUGAAAAGUGGAGACCAGCGGAAGAACCUAACUUCAAGCUUUUACAGCUGAGGCCCUUGCAUGCCUUCAAGCUCUCAGAUUAGGGGUGGAUCUCAAUUUCAAAAGGGUGGUGGUGGAAGGGGGUUAUCUUUCUGUGAUAAAGAAAGCAAACUUGAGUUGCAUAGAUAGAUUGGCCAUCGAGGCGUAUAUUCAAGACAUUAGAACUGAACAAUAGAGGCUCAGAGAGUGUGAGUUUGUUUAUGUCUCCCGAGAGGUGAACAAAUCAGCUCAUUUACUAGUGCAAGAGGGAUGGAGUAGGGGAGAUGGUCUAAAUCUAGAGCAUAGUCAACUGGUAGAGAUGGUAGCUCUGAAUUGUAAAGGCGUUAGCGAAAACGAUGAAACAAGUGUUGCGAUGGCUUCAAGGUAGAUGUUCUUCUUCUUCAAAAAGGAUUUUGGUAAAGGGGGAUUUUUCUGAGGGUGAAAAGGACGAGUGGAUUUUUUUAGAGUAGAGAUUAAACUGCUCCUAUCUUUUGGAGUCUCCCACGGUCUACACGUGUAUCCACUUUCGGGUGUGGCUCCUCUAUCUAAACUGGAGUUGUUUGUUUUUUUAAUUUUCUGCUGCGCUUUUGUUUUUUCGAGUUUUUGUUUAAACUACUUUAAUUUAUUUUAAUAAAUUCUCCAGUUGGAUUUUAUUCACAAAAAAAAAAACACAUCAUGCAUAGUAGUUGGUUUUAGUCUAGAACAUAACCCGUUUGUAAUAGUUUGAUAUUUACAACUACUUUGACCUGUAUUUGUAAUUGUACUGUAGUUGUUAUAACAAUCAACCUUAAGCAAGACAAA